rnacentral:rRNA from 1 species
AUUGAACGCUGGCGGCAGCUUAACACAUGCAAGUCGAGCGGAGAUGAGGUGCUUGCACCUUAUCUUAGCGGCGGACGGGUGAGUAAUGCUUAGGAAUCUGCCUAUUAGUGGGGGACAACAUUCUGAAAGGAAUGCUAAUACCGCAUACGUCCUACGGGAGAAAGCAGGGGAUCUUCGGACCUUGCGCUAAUAGAUGAGCCUAAGUCGGAUUAGCUAGUUGGUGGGGUAAAGGCCUACCAAGGCGACGAUCUGUAGCGGGUCUGAGAGGAUGAUCCGCCACACUGGGACUGAGACACGGCCCAGACUCCUACGGGAGGCAGCAGUGGGGAAUAUUGGACAAUGGGGGGAACCCUGAUCCAGCCAUGCCGCGUGUGUGAAGAAGGCCUUAUGGUUGUAAAGCACUUUAAGCGAGGAGGAGGCUACUGAGACUAAUACUCUUGGAUAGUGGACGUUACUCGCAGAAUAAGCACCGGCUAACUCUGUGCCAGCAGCCGCGGUAACAC